UAGUUGAUCCAUCCAAGGGUUAUUAUUAGUGUGGUCUCCCCACAAGAACCCCAGCCGCACCACCACGGACCCUCUCUCUCUCUCUCUCCGAUCGAUCCACCACCACCAACACAUCCCUCUCUCUGUCGACUCCCUCCCUCUCCCUCAUGCCCACCGCAAGCCCUCAGGAAUCGAAUCCCGGUCGCUCUUUUCUGGCUCUUCCUCUCCCUCUGCCUCUCUCAAACCAGUCACCGAUCUUGACCUACUGCCGAUCCCGAUUCGACACCACUAGCAUCGUCGACUGGCGCGACGAGUCACCACUAGAACCACUACCGUUCGAGGCUCUCAGGGUUCGAAUCGAUGGCAUGUAGUUCUUCUUCACCUCAAGGUGUCAUUCGCUGGUCGUGUGUAUCUCAAAAUAUGUAUGGCUACUGGAUCUGUAGUUUGGAGCAUAAACAAGCAGCUGAAGAAAACUAUUUGAUUCCUUCAAACUGCAGCUUGAAACACCUCUUAAGGCAAUAAGAAUAGCAUCAUAGCUUGACACCAAAGAAGGCAAUAGUAGCAGUAGAAAUGAGCACGGAAGAGCCCAAUAGCAGCAGAAAGUGACACCAUUGGAAGUCCAUUAGCAGCAAAAGUGACAGCCAAAUUUGAGACCAAAGAGUAACAAGAGCAACAACACAAUAGCAACAAACCACAACAAAUGAACUUCACACUUAACAACAUACUUUGCAGAAAAGUCACGGGCAUGCACUAGGAAGGUGGACUCUCAAUGACUGACAUCGAAAAGCCUUUCAGAAGGUGGACUCUCAAUGACUUUGGCAAGGGAAAAGUGGGUAAGUGAUCUUGACUUCUUCUAUUUUAUGUGUUGGAUAUGCAAAGUUUCAAGGUUGGACCUUUUUCUCAUUUGAGUAUGUGUUGCUUUGUCAUGUAUUGGUUGGUACAUAUUGCUUAUCUCCUGAAAUUAAUUUUCCCAAAAAAAUUGUUUGCUAGCUCCUUAGAAAUCCUAACGAAAAUUGUGAUAUUUGAACUCUCUUACCAUUUAAGGUGUUCAACGAGACUGUGCAAUUGUAUUUGUGUUAAUUUUCAGCUGAUGGGAAAAUUAAUCUAUUUCGUUUUGGAUAGAGCAAUCACAUUUGGCACUAAGGUGCUUUCCAAGAGCCAAGGGGUUGCUAGGGAGUCAUACACUGGGUGAAUGUAGGAAAGCCACAACAAUAUUAUAUUGUCGAUUCCGAGGUAUCUAUUUCGAUCGUCUCAGGCGAUGUGACUGGUUUUUUUUCUUGAUGUUCAUAUCUUAGGCGGCGGAACCAUUAUAUAUUUUUUUUCUGUUGUUCGUGUCUGAGGCUGUGGGACCAUUUUUUUACUUUGUUGUUGUUUGUCUGUGUCUGGCCCAUUUGUAAUUUUGGAUAGUUGCAAACUUGCUAUUACGUCGCGUUGUGACUUUAAGCAUGGGAAAUUCCUAAGAAUAUGC